GUAAUUCGAUUGCGGAAAUGUUUUAAAUCAACAGUAGCAACCUCAACUUCAAGCUCCAGCCAUCUUCAAUCUCCCCCUAUCUGAUCAGACCUAAAGCUCCCUUUGGCUGCAACAACUCAACUUGGAUUUAAGAGGAACCUUAUUUCGAAGAAUUUAAGGUGGUUCUCUGUUUUUUUCCUCUUUGACUUUGGGAGAGAAAGAGGGGAAGGGGAAAGGGGGGAAAUGAGAAGUGAACCUCAUUGAAUUAUUGUAUUUCCUCCUCUUCAUUUCUUUGCCAUUCUUUUUCACUCUAUUUCUUCUUGUUCUUUCCACUGUUGGAGCUUAGAACAAUUGUUUUAGUUUUACAGGUUGAACAAAUUUCUAUCAAAUCUUACCCAUUUCUUUAGCACUUGGUUUGGGCAUUAGAUUAUGACAAAAUGGGUGAACUUUUGUUUGGUUUGGAGAAUUUUUCAUUUUUUGAGUUUCUUUUCACUGCUGCUUUUAAUCUUUUUUGUUGCAUUGACUCUAUGCUUCAUGGGUGAUGUUCUUUGAUUUUGUUUGCUAUUUUCUUGUGUUUUGGAUUGGAAAGAAUUGCAGAUUAAAUUUCCGUGGUUCCACUUAUCCUAAUCUCUAAUGUCCAGCUUAUUGAACAAGGGUUUUCAAAUAUGAAGACUAAUCCAUUCUCCAUGUACUCCACCAAUCCUUGAUUUGCAAAGGAAAAUUUAAUUGAACUCGACCAGUCGAACUGUGACCCUGUCAUGAGACUGGUUUGAUCUCUGGUCCAGUUUUAACAACGCUGAUGCUAAUUGCUAGGGGACUGGAUUCUUAGAAACGACACCAUUUAACCUCUUUUCUAGGGGGUCGGGGUUAUUUUCUCCUUGUUUUCUGGAGACUGCACAAUCCCAGAUAAAAAUUGUAUCGACGAAGGCUUUCUACUGUUCCUGCAAAUUAGUAGGUUGCACGCGCUACUUUUGUGAAUAAUUGUUUUCAUUUGCUAUCUUUUUGUACAAUUAAAGCUAUGAAUUUCCAUGCAUGUCUUCUUAAUCGAAUCCAAACUGAAAUGCUGCUUUGCAUUUUUUUUAGUCUUUUGGUCGGCGUGUUUGUUUUAAAAUGAGUGCAUGUUACCUGUUCGAUAAUUUGCUUACUUCAUAACAAGUCCAAAAUCUUCCAUAAAAAUUGUAAUAAUGAAUCUUUGAGCAUAUGCCAAUUGAGUCAAAAGUACCAGAUUAUCUAAAUAAUUUUCUCCUUUAUCUCACUUUGUUUUAUUUUAUCUUACACGAUUGGUCUAAUCUGGUAUAAUAGAAGUUACUCGAAAGAACAUGGAUCUUGAACUCCUUUAUUUGUUUUGAAGGACAAAUAAAUGGAACCAAGAUGGAAAGGCAAGGGCUCAGAAGCCAAAGCUCUUGCAGAUCCAAUGUCAAAGAUUGUUUCACAGCUUUGUACUUCUCUAAUCCAAAUAGAUGCUCUUGGGUUACUCUCAGGAUCCAGUGUGCUUCUUGCAGUGGAAACAGAACAGACUGAGCUUCUCACUGGUGCAUGUUUUGGCCGACCUAUUAUUACAGCUGAGAAGGAUAAGCAAUGGUUUCAACUGGGUUUGGAGGAAGCCUUUUAUUUAUGCUAUUCUCUGAAAUGCCUCAAGAUCGUUGGUGAAGAUAAUUGUCAUAAGAAUGAUGUUGAGUUAUGGCAGUACAUGAAAUCCAAAAAGGCAGUUUUCCCUGAUUUUUACAAGGCUUAUUCUCAUCUUCGAAUGAAAAAUUGGGUUGUGAGGCCAGGAUCCCAGUAUGGUGUAGACUUCGUUGCAUACCGUCAUCAUCCAUCUUUGGUUCAUUCUGAAUAUGCUGUGCUUGUUUUAUCAGAAGAAGAUGCUGAUGUGAAUGGAAGAUUGGGAGUGUGGUCUGAUUUUCAUUGCACAAUUCGACUUUGUGGAAGUGUUGCAAAAACAUUGUUAGUUCUUAGCAUCAACAAAAAUGGUCAUGGUGCUAUCUCUCCAUCGUGUUUAGGGAGAUACUCCAUUAAAGAGCACACAGUCACUAGAUGGAGUCCGGAACAAAGUCGUGAGGAUCAGACAACCAUUGAAAAAGAAACCAAUAUCCCCAAGAUUCAAGGGCAUGAACAUGGCUUUCACUCACAUGGACAGGAACAAUCUCAUGUUCUCAUAGAUCAGGGAAAGAUAUAGUCUGGUACUGCUCUUUCAGUCUUCUGCAAUUGCUUGUCAAUUACAGUAAACAUGCUACUACAUGAAGUGUCAUGAAAGAUAAUUAAAUUAUUAUUGGCACAUUGCAUGUCAUUUCAUAUCGGAGCAUCAAUUUCUCCUUGUAGAAAUGAUUCACGAGUAAGUUCGCCCCCUUAAUUUUCAAGGUGGAGAAAGACUAAUGACACUAGGUUGCACUACGCACAACUUUGUUCUUUUUAACUUGUAGUUCACUCAUUGUUUUUAUCAAGAAAUCUUAAAAAGAUGUAUGCCCUUUUGUUUGUCUAUUGCGAAGUUGAGAAAAAAAAAAAGGUUACUGGGAAAAUGUGUGGUAGGUUAUUAUGUUAACCCAUUCAUAUAUUGUAAUUGGCAAAUUCUCGAAAUAAUAUCAAUCUUUCCUGAAGUGCUCCCACUUCGUCUGCCAUUCAUUGAUAACUUCUCUGACAUCAAGUUAUUAGCUUGUGGGAAAAUUUAUUAGCAGCUUAGCUGCUAAAACCAUGAAGUCAUCGGUUGUGAUUUUGAUAAUGGACUUUAUCAUGGAGCUUAAUAUAAUUGUUUCCAUGCUAUUACUGGUGGUGUCAAUUCAAUUUACAUAUACAAAGUGCUCAAUCUUCUAAUUAGAAUACUUUUUUUUUUCUUUUUUUCUUCUUUCUCUUUUUAGAGCUGGGUUUUGGGUUGGAAGAUACACGUCUUGCUGAAGUCAAAGGAGGACA
rnacentral:misc_RNA from 1 species